rnacentral:rRNA from 1 species
UACAGAGGGUGCAAGCGUUGUUCGGAAUCAUUGGGCGUAAAGGGCGCGUAGGCGGCCACCGCAAGUCGACUGUGAAAUCUCCGGGCUUAACCGGGAAAGGUCGUCGGAUACUGCAGGACUAGAGGACGGUAGAGGCGUGUGGAAUUCCGGGUGUAGUGGUGAAAUGCGUAGAGAUCCGGAGGAACACCAGUGGCGAAGGCGACACGCUGGGCCGUACCUGACACUGAUGCGCGACAGCAUGGGGGAGCAAACAGG